rnacentral:rRNA from 1 species
AGUACAGACGAGUUUGAUCAUGGCUCAGAUUGAACGCUGGCGGCAUGCCUUACACAUGCAAGUCGAACGGUAACGCGGGGCAACCUGACGACGAGUGGCGAACGGGUGAGUAAUACAUCGGAACGUGCCCAGUAGUGGGGGAUAGCCCGGCGAAAGCCGGAUUAAUACCGCAUACGACCUACGGGUGAAAGCGGGGGAUCGCAAGACCUCGCGCUAUUGGAGCGGCCGAUGUCAGAUUAGGUAGUUGGUGGGAUAAAGGCCUACCAAGCCUACGAUCUGUAGCUGGUCUGAGAGGACGACCAGCCACACUGGGACUGAGACACGGCCCAGACUCCUACGGGAGGCAGCAGUGGGGAAUUUUGGACAAUGGGCGCAAGCCUGAUCCAGCCAUGCCGCGUGCGGGAAGAAGGCCUUCGGGUUGUAAACCGCUUUUGUCAGGGAAGAAACGCUCUGGGCUAAUACCCUGGGGUAAUGACGGUACCUGAAGAAUAAGCACCGGCUAACUACGUG